rnacentral:rRNA from 1 species
AGUAGUUUGAUCAGUGGCUCAGGACGACGCUGGCGGCGUGCUUAACACAUGCAAGUCGAACGGAGUUAAGCGCUGGUCUGAUGCUAGCUUGCUAGUGGAUUUCCUUGCUUAACUUAGUGGCGGACGGGUGAGUAACGCGUGAGUAACCUGCCUCUCAGUGGGGAAUAACGCCCUGAAAAGAGCGCUAAUACCGCAUAAUAUAUUUUUGCCGCAUGACAGGAAUAUCAAAGAUUUAUCGCUGAGAGAUGGACUCGCGUCCGAUUAGCUAGUUGGCGGGGUAACGGCCCACCAAGGCGACGAUCGGUAGCCGGACUGAGAGGUUGAACGGCCACAUUGGGACUGAGACACGGCCCAGACUCC